AUGGGCCUACGGGGCGCAGCAGUAGGGAAUCUUCCACAAUGGACGAAAGUCUGAUGGAGCAACGCCGCGUGAGUGAAGAAGGGUUUCGGCUCGUAAAGCCCUGUUGGUAGUGAAGAAAGAUAGAGGUAGUAACUGGCCUUUAUUUGACGGUAAUUACUCAGAAAGUCACGGCUAACUACGUGCCAGCAGCCGCGGUAAUACGUAGGUGGCAAGCGUUGUCCGGAUUUAUUGGGCGUAAAGCGAGUGCAGGCGGUUCAAUAAGUCUGGUGUGAAAGCCUUCGGCUCCA
rnacentral:rRNA from 1 species